AUUGAACGCUGGCGGCAUGCCUUACACAUGCAAGUCGAGCGGUUGAAGGGCGCUUGCUCCUGGAUUCAGCGGCGGACGGGUGUGUAAUGCCUAGGAAUCUGCCUGGGAGUGGGGUAUAACGUCCGGAAACGGGCUCUAAUACCGCAUACGUCCUGAGGGAGAAAGUGGGGGAUCUUCGGACCUCACGCUAUCAGAUGAGCCUAGGUCGGAAUAGCGAAUUGGUGGGGUAAAGGCCUCCCAAGGCGAAGAUUCGUAACUGGUCUGAGAGGAUGAUCAGUCAACACGGAAAUGAGACCACGUCCAGAAUUCUAAGGGAGGGAGCAGGUGGGAAUAUUGGGAAAUGGGCGACAGGCUGAUCCAACCAAGCCGCGUGGGAGAAGAAGGGCCUUGGAUUGUAAAGCACUUUAAGUUGGGAAGAAAAGGAGUAAGUUAAUACCCCGCUGUUAUGAAGUGAACCACAGAAAAAGCACCGGGCAAACUAGGGG
rnacentral:rRNA from 1 species